rnacentral:rRNA from 1 species
AGCGAACGGACGAGAAGCUUGCUUCUCUGAUGUUAGCGGCGGACGGGUGAGUAACACGUGGAUAACCUACCUAUAAGACUGGGAUAACUUCGGGAAACCGGAGCUAAUACCGGAUAAUAUUUUGAACCGCAUGGUUCAAAAGUGAAAGACGGUCUUGCUGUCACUUAUAGAUGGAUCCGCGCUGCAUUAGCUAGUUGGUAAGGUAACGGCUUACCAAGGCAACGAUGCAUAGCCGACCUGAGAGGGUGAUCGGCCACACUGGAACUGAGACACGGUCCAGACUCCUACGGGAGGCAGCAGUAGGGAAUCUUCCGCAAUGGGCGAAAGCCUGACGGAGCAACGCCGCGUGAGUGAUGAAGGUCUUCGGAUCGUAAAACUCUGUUAUUAGGGAAGAACAUAUGUGUAAGUAACUGUGCACAUCUUGACGGUACCUAAUCAGAAAGC